CGAGGCAAAACAGAAAACCAAAGAAGGAAAAGAAGAAAUUGGUUUUGUAAUUCUUAGCUGAAAAUUGUUACUAUUUCAUAUAUGCAACACUUUGUGAUUUAUAAGGUCGGGCAUAUGAGGAGAGUAAGGAAAAGGGAAAAAUGUGAAGGAGAUCCUGAUUGCAUUACAUUUUUGUGAAUUUUGGAAGUUGUUAUUGUAUAUGUACUUGAGAACUUGUUAUGUCUGCAAGUCAUGUACUUGAUGUAAAUGAAAAGUUUGUGGCUACUUUUAUAUAGAGCAGUUGUACAUUUGGGACC